UUUUACAAGAACUCAGAGGGACGAAUCCGGCAUCGGAUGAAUCCUUCUUAGGAAAGGAAUGGUGUGAACUGUACAGCUGAGCAGGAAAGGAUCAAUUCCUCAAGGCAGGAACGUGCUUGGACAGACUCAGGAAGCUGAUUCCAAGCUGGGAAGCACUGAAGGGAAACCAGCACCAGGAGCUGCAAGAAAAUGCUGAAAUCUUGACACGAAGAUCUGGAGCAGAGAGACGCUGAACGUACUUCCAGGUUAGGGCAUUGUGAAUGAGAGUGCUGGUAAUGUACAGUAUGAAGUGAUGGCACUCACAGGAUUUAUACAACAGACAAAAAGUAUUAAAGAAGAGAAGGAUUAUUCGUCUAACGUUUCGGUCCCACACAAUAUAUAAUAUAUAUAUUACAAAAUAUUAACUAUGGAAAACUUAAUCAAUGUAUGUAAUAUUCUGUUAAUAUAACAAUGUGUAUAUGUGUAUUUUUGAAGAAUAGUUAUGAGCUAA